UUUCAGGUACAUUUGUUGCAGCUUUUAUUGAGGCCGUCGCAGCUGAGAUCCCGUGGUUUUGAGUUCUUCACGUUUGAGAUUAAUCUGGAGGUACGUUUGUAGCAGCUGAUAUUAAAGCCGUCGCAGCUGGUAUGCCAAGGUUUGCAAUUAAUCUAGAGGUACCAGUUUGCGAUUAGUCUGGAG